rnacentral:rRNA from 1 species
GACGAACGCUGGCGGCGUGCUUAACACAUGCAAGUCGAACGGUAAGGCCCUUCGGGGUACACGAGUGGCGAACGGGUGAGUAACACGUGGGUGAUCUGCCCUGCACUUCGGGAUAAGCCUGGGAAACUGGGUCUAAUACCGGAUAGGACCACUGCCUGCAUGGGCGGUGGUGGAAAGCUUUUGGGGGGUGGGAUGGGCCCGCGGCCUAUCAGCUUGUUGGUGGGGUGAUGGCCCACCAAGGCGACGACGGGUAGUCGGCCUGAGAGGGUGACCGGCCACACGGGGACUGAGAUACGGCCCAGACUCCUACGGGAGGCAGCAGUGGGGAAUAUUGCACAAUGGGCGCAAGCCUGAUGCAGCGACGCCGCGUGAGGGAUGACGGCCUUCGGGUUGUAAACCUCUUUCAGCACCGACGAAGCGCAAGUGACGGUAGGUGCAGAAGAAGGACCGGCCAACUACGUGCCAGCAGCCGCCGCAG